rnacentral:rRNA from 1 species
GAUGAACGCUGGCGGCGUGCUUAACACAUGCAAGUCGAACGGUGAAGCAGGAGCUUGCUCUUGUGGAUCAGUGGCGAACGGGUGAGUAACACGUGAGCAACCUGCCCCUGACUCUGGGAUAAGCGCUGGAAACGGCGUCUAAUACUGGAUAUGUGAUGUGACCGCAUGGUCUGCAUCUGGAAAGAAUUUCGGUUGGGGAUGGGCUCGCGGCCUAUCAGCUUGUUGGUGAGGUAAUGGCUCACCAAGGCGUCGACGGGUAGCCGGCCUGAGAGGGUGAGCGGCCACACUGGGACUGAGACACGGCCCAGAGUCCGACGGGAGGCAGCAGUGGGGAAUAUUGCACAAUGGGCGGAAGCCUGAUGCAGCAACGCCGCGUGAGGGAUGACGGCCUUCGGGUUGUAAACCUCUUUCAGCAGGGAAGAAGCGCAAGUGACGGUACCUGCAGAAGUAGCACCGGCUAACUACGUGCCAGCCGCCGCAGUAA